GACGAACGCUGGCGGCGUGCUUAACACAUGCAAGUCGAACGGAAAGGCCCUGCUUUUGUGGGGUGCUCGAGUGGCGAACGGGUGAGUAACACGUGAGUAACCUGCCCUUGACUUUGGGAUAACUUCAGGAAACUGGGGCUAAUACCGGAUAGGAGCUCCUGCUGCAUGGGGGGGGUAGGAAAGUUUCGGCGGUUGGGGAUGGACUCGCGGCUUAUCAGCUUGUUGGUGGGGUAGUGGCUUACCAAGGCUUUGACGGGUAGCCGGCCUGGGAGGGUGACCGGCGACAUUGGGACUGCGAUACGGCCCAGACGCGUACGGGAGGCAACGGUGGGGAAUAUUGCGCAGUGGGCGGAAGCCUGAUGCAGCAACGCCGCGAGCGGGAUGACGGCCUUCGGGUUGUGAACCGCUUUCGCCUGUGACGAAGCGUGAGUGACGGUAAUGGGUAAAGAAGCACCGGCUAACUACGUG
rnacentral:rRNA from 1 species